UACAAUAGUCCAUUUACAGUUACUAUCAUAAAAAUACACUUACUUGUAGGUUUGAAAGUGUACAUAAGGCACAUUUAAUGUCCAACAUCAAAUAUUUUAGCGAAAUGUAUAUUUUAGAAUUAUUGCGCUUCUAUUGCGUCCCGUCUGUUUAGCGCGCAUGCGCGCAGCAGCGCUCGUUCAAUGUGAAGUUUAGCCUCAAAAUGGAAAUAUUUGUAAUAUUUUCUAACAUUUACAGAUGGAGAAUAAACUUGUGAAAAGUAAGUUAUGCACUAAGGAAAACACCAUGUCUCAAACGCAUAAAAUAGAACAAAAUGUAUGCCCUUUCCUAUCGAUUUGAUCCAUGAUCGACCUCUAGGGCUGCUUAAAAAAGUGUGCACGCGAAAUUAUCUUGACUAGGUGAACCUGGAUCGAAUUAGCGGGACUGCGUGAACUUCAAUUACCUUUUAUGAAACCGUUUUAGCCCAAACUCAUUUGUUAGGUUAAUUCAAGUCAGGUUUUGGAGUUUAAUCCUCGCUUUUCUUAGCAUCUUUUAUGAAACAGCCCUCUGGAGUAUAAUACAAGUUUGUUGGUGGAUCAGGAGAAGGUAAUUGUCACAGACACAUCAGGCUCUACCAUGCACCAAUCACAAUGCUCCCAAUCACCGGAAUACUAAUCACUGUCACCUGCACAUCAUUAUCCCCUUCAUCAUCACCAGUAUAUAGAGCACUCACACCCUGCACUCACUGUCCGGUCUCGUUGAGCUAUACUUUCCUGUAUGCUUACCUCAAGGACUCCCUCGCUCGCUACUUACCUGUCUCCUGUGCACCCGAUCUCCCAGUGUGUUCCUCGUCUGUGUGUGAGUGCUUCUACGUCUCCUACGUUCUCCAGCUCCAUCCAGUUCCAAGUCUCCACCAUCUGCAAUCACAAAAGGACCGUAAAUAUCACCAGACAUUACCAUUGUUCAUCUGCUCUACUCUGCUUACCAUAUCUGCUCACUGGUUUCUCCAUAAAGAGAACAGAUGUACCGUUUGUACAUCUGUGUCCGACCCCUCUGUGUCAUAACAGUAAUACUUCCAAGUUCUAUUUAUGUAUGAUUUACAUUCUCUUUCAGAAUGUAUACGUACUUUUAAUGUGGUCUUUUAAUAGGAGAGGAAGAAACUAAUCUAUCAGGCUUGUGAGGAAAGACGUCAAAAGAUCUUGUUUGACUUUGUGGGACAAGAUGAUAUUGCCAGUGAAAUCUUUGUGGUGCAAGAAGCCGCAUCAUCAAGAUCAGUUGAGAGCAGUUCCUCCGGGUCAAUAAUGGAUCAUGGCAUAAAAGCAUCCUCAACUCUAUAUGUGCUUUGGUUUUCAAAUAAGGAUGUACAGGAAAUUCUCUCAGAUCAACAAAAUGAUGGAGCUUAUAACCUACACCAUACAUCACAUGGUCAGUCAUCACUGUCUGAGACAUCCACCCAGCCAAGUCUCUCUGUGCCCUCUUUCCAGCCACCACUGUCUGAGCCCUCCACCCGCUCACUGCUGUCUGAGCCCUCCACCCACUCACUGCUGUCUGAGCCCUCCACCCAGCCACUCCGCUCACUCUGUUCUCACAACCACAAGAAAUCCUGACUCUUCAUGAUGAACCAUCACUCUCUCCUUCAUCUGCCCAAGAACCAAUCAUUAUUCUUGAUGAACAAGAUGAGACGGUUUCACAAAAUCAGUCUCCUGUAUCAACACAUCACCUCGGAGGACCUGUGGAUGAGAUUGAUCUACAGACCAUAUUGAAAAAAUGGUCAGCAAAGUUGAUGGAAGCUUCUGUCCAACAAGCAACCAAAUAAAUGUGUGCAAGGAUAAUGUUUUACUGUGUAGCCUGCGGGCAUUCAAGCGUAGGUUCUUCAACCCUGAAGCAAAAUUGGAUGUUGUGUUUGUGGAUGAAGAUGACAAUGGUGAAGGGGCAGUUGACGAAGGCGGCCCAACAAGAGAGUACCUAAGGCUGUUGAUGAGGGCCGUCCACCAGUCAAAUAUCUUUGAGGGACAUGAGAAAGACCGGCAGUUGUCUCUUGAUACUCAAGCUUUGCAGACUAAACUUUACACGUGGGUGGCAAAAAUGAUUGCUGUGUGUGUGGUCCACGGAGGAGUCGGAGGAAACAUUUCUUUUCCGAAAGGCUUUUCCAUCAAAUCUGUGGGAUACCAACACACCCGGCCACGGUGGAUGAAGUUGGUGACCAUACUUUCAGGGAACAGUUAAUAAAAAUACAGGAAGCAACAACAGUCCGAGAGGUGAACGGUGCAAUUGCAGAGGCAGCAGAUAGUCUCAGCAUUAUAGGUGCCUUAAGACAUGUGUCCAGCCUGGAGGAGAAGGACUCCCUUGUCCAGUCAGCUGCAGACUUCUUUGUCAAUGGAAGACUGGCGACUACCCUGGACCAAAGGAGAAUGCAGUCCAGUCACCCUAAAGAAGGUAUUGGAGUUUACAUCUGGAGCUUCAACAGUGCCUCCACUGGGAUUUCCACACCGUCCACAAAUUCAGUUCCUUCAUGAGGGCAACAGAAUAUUCCCAGAAGCAAAUACUUGCUUUCUUGUACUCCACCUGCCGCUGCACUCUUCCUAUGAAGCCUUCAAACAAUACAUGAUGGAGGGAAUUUCGCAAGCUCCAACCUUUGGACUUGCAUGAUGUCACUAUGUGUGUAAAAAUUAUUAAUGGAAAUUCAGUUUUCACUUGAGCUAUAUUUGUGCUUAGAAAUUAUUGAAUAGAAUGCUGUUGAAGCAAGUCACUGGUUCAGAUGUUAAUUUUAGAAUCUCAUGCACUUUUAAAAAAAAAAAAUUUGAUGCAGUAAUCCUGUUCAUUUUGCAUGAGUAACAGUUCACUUCAGUUGAUUGGUGGUUAUUCAAUAUUGAGUUUUUCAGCUAACUCAAACUUGUGUAGUUUUUUUGAAGGUGUAUAUUUUCUUUUGGUUUUACGAGACAUAUAUUGGGCUUAUAGUUCAUGGUUACUCUGAUGACACUGAGGUUGAUCUAAUGAAUUAGAUAUCCUUUAUAAACAAACUGUAAGGAAUUAUUGGGCUUAUAAUUCAAUGAGUUUGAUGAAAUCACACAUAACAGCCAAUAUGUUUGGUUUAUGUACAUGUUGAUGAAUACACAGUGAAUACAGAGAAGGCAAACAAAAAGUCUGGCUGGUUUGCUGGAUGUCAACCUCAACAGCUUAUCAUAGUAACCUGUCCCCAUCACGACUCAGUCUCUGUUCCAAUUAGUGGAUUGAUGUUAAGGUAUUUUUGGCAGUUAAACCUCUCUCAACUGUUCAUCUAAAAUUCUCAUUCAAGCCAUUAAACAUUCUAUGUUCAUAUUAAUUAGAUGCUUUUCCACUUUUUCUAUGAAUUAUAACACAAUGGGAGUAGAAAGGAACAAUACAAAUAUUGUCAGCCAACAGUACUACAAAAAAAAAAAAAUAAGACAAUAAAACAUAACAGCACCAACAGUGUUGUUAGCUACUGCCAAAUCUAGCACACCUGGCAUUAGCUCCAUCAGCUGCAGCUGCACUGCCCAUACCGCCUUAUUUUAACAGAAAAUGUAACUUAAAGCAGUUGAAACUAAAAAUGUCUUUCAGUUCUGGAUAAUAUUUGCAGCCAAUAAACCUUUGUCUCUGUAUUUUCUGUUCGCAACGGAUGGAGGUUCCAGGCCUGUCUAAACUGCUCCAGUCUUUUUUGAAUCUCAGGAAGAUAAACAAUAUGCAGUGAAAGUUUGUGGACAUUAUCAUCUGGGUUUAGAACCUCUGAAUCCUCUAAGGAGUAGAACAUAAGGUAAAAGUGCUGCAACACAUGCAAAAAUACAUCACGCCAAAUGCGUUCAAUUCUCUGAACUCAAUUGUUCAAUUGUGAACUGAUUGUCCGGUUAUGAAACUUCUGUGUUCAAGUCCUUGAACUAGAUGCAUGAAUAAAGCCACAAGGAUGUUUUCACCACCAUGGUCAGACUGACUCUUGAUGGUAGGGCAUAGAGGCAUGUUGCUUUCAAAAACUGAGAAAGCACUGUUGUGGCACGAUUGUCUGUGCUGCAGUUGAGGUAAGUAAUCAGACGGGAGUAUCCAUCA